rnacentral:rRNA from 1 species
UGGGGAAUAUUGCACAAUGGGCGAAAGCCUGAUGCAGCGACGCCGCGUGAGGGAUGACGGCCUUCGGGUUGUAAACCUCUUUCGACAGGGACGAAGCGCAAGUGACGGUACCUGUAGAAGAAGCACCGGCCAACUACGUGCCAGCAGCCGCGGUAAUACGUAGGGUGCGAGCGUUAUCCGGAAUUACUGGGCGUAAAGAGCUUGUAGGCGGUUUGUCGCGUCGUCUGUGAAAACUCACAGCUCAACUGUGAGCUUGCAGGCGAUACGGGCAGACUUGAGUACUGCAGGGGAGACUGGAAUUCCUGGUGUAGCGGUGAAAUGCGCAGAUAUCAGGAGGAACACCGGUGGCGAAGGCGGGUCUCUGGGCAGUAACUGACGCUGGGAAGCGAAAGCGUGGGUAGCGAACAGGAUUAGAUACCCUGGUAGUCCNCNGCCGUAAACGGUGGGUACUAGGUGUGGGUUUCCUUCCACGGGAUCCGUGCCGUAGCUAACGCAUUAAGUACCCCGCCUGGGGAGUACGGNCGCAAGGCU